rnacentral:pre_miRNA from 1 species
AAUAAAUCAAUUUUUCAUUUUUUAUCUUUAAUUUUUGACUCUUCAUUUUAUUUAAUUUUUUUGCGAUUGAUAUUUUUAUCUUUAUUAGAUGAUAAAUUAUGAAUAGUACUUUACGUGUGACUAAUUUUUUUUCUAAUUUUUUAAAUUUUUUUAAAUUAAAUGGAUGAUCAAACUUUAGACACGGAAGCCGAAACGGAAGCCGAAG